rnacentral:rRNA from 1 species
CCUACGGGAUGCAGCAGUGGGGAUUAUUGCACAAUGGGGGAAACCCUGAUGCAGCGACGCCGCGUGAGUGAAGAAGUAUUUCGGUAUGUAAAGCUCUGUCAGCAGGGAAGAAAAUGACGGUACCUGACCAAGAAGCCCCGGCUAACUACGUGCCAGCAGCCGCGGUAAUACGUAGGGGGCAAGCGUUAUCCGGAUUUACUGGGUGUAAAGGGAGCGUAGACGGCAGGGCAAGUCUGGAGUGAAAGGCGGGGGCUCAACCCCCGGACUGCUCUGGAAACUGCCAGGCUGGAGUGCAGGAGAGGUAAGUGGAAUUCCUAGGUGAGCGGUGAAAUGCGUAGAUAUUAGGAGGAACACCAGUGGCGAAGGCGGCUUACUGGACUGUAACUGACGUUGAGGCUCGAAAGCGUGGGGAGCAAACAGGAUUAGAUACCCUUGUAGUC